rnacentral:rRNA from 1 species
GACGAACGCUGGCGGCGUGCUUAACACAUGCAAGUCGAGCGGUAAGGCCCUUUCGGGGUACGACGAGCGGCGAACGGGUGAGUAACAACGUGGGUGACCUGCCCUCAGCUCUGGGAGUAAGCCUGGGAAACCGGGUACUAAUACCGGAUAUGACUCCAUGACGCAUGUUGUGGGGUGGAAAGCCUUGUGCGGCUGAGGAUGGGCCCGCGGCCUAUCAGCUUGUUGGUGGGGUGAUGGCCUACCAAGGCGACGACGGGUAGCCGGCCUGAGAGGGCGACCGGCCACACUGGGACUGAGACACGGCCCAGACUCCUACGGGAGGCAGCAGUGGGGAAUCUUGCGCAAUGGGCGAAAGCCUGACGCAGCGACGCCGCGUGAGGGAUGACGGGCCU